UACGUAGGGUGCAAGCGUUGUCCGGAAUUAUUGGGCGUAAAGAGCUCGUAGGCGGCUUGUCGCGUCGACUGUGAAAACCCAUGGCUUAACUGUGGGCUUGCAGCCGAUACGGGCAGGCUAGAGUUCGGCAGGGGAGACUGGAAUUCCUGGUGUAGCGGUGAAAUGCGCAGAUAUCAGGAGGAACACCGGUGGCGAAGGCGAGGUGCUGGACCCUUUCUGACGCUGAUGCGCGAAAGCCAGGGGAGCAAACGGG
rnacentral:rRNA from 1 species